GACGAACCGUGCGAACGUUGUUCGGAUUCACUGGGCUUAAAGGGCGCGUAGGCGGACAAUCAAGUCAGGGGUGAAAGCCUCCAGCUCAACUGGAGAAGUGCCUUUGAUACUGACUGUCUCGAGGGAGGUAGGGGCAUGUGGAACUUCCGGUGGAGCGGUGAAAUGCGUAGAUAUCGGAAGGAACGCCGGUGGCGAAAGCGACGUGCUGGACCUCUUCUGACGCUGAGGCGCGAAAGCCAGGGGAGCGAACGGG
rnacentral:rRNA from 1 species